rnacentral:rRNA from 1 species
UGCCAGCAGCCGCGGUAAUACGGAGGGGGCUAGCGUUGUUCGGAAUUACUGGGCGUAAAGCGCACGUAGGCGGAUGAUUAAGUGAGAGGUGAAAUCCCAGGGCUCAACCCUGGAACUGCCUUUCAUACUGCUAGUCUUGAGUUCGAGAGAGGUGAGUGGAAUUCCGAGUGUAGAGGUGAAAUUCGUAGAUAUUCGGAGGAACACCAGUGGCGAAGGCGGCUCACUGGCUCGAUACUGACGCUGAGGCUCGAAAGCGUGGGGAGCAAACAGGAUUAGAUA